rnacentral:lncRNA from 1 species
AAACUGUUUUCCACAGUGACGGUAGCCUUUGAUGUUCCGCCAGCAACGUGUAAGAGUUCUGAUUUCAAGAUGAUGGAGACUUUGGGACCUAGUUCUAAUCUGAGGUUGCCUAAGGACUUGAUUUACUAUGUAACAACAAUUCUGAAUGUUUGUAGACAUGAGGUAUGCCAUUCUCCUGUGAAUUAUGCCUCGAAUCUGACCACUGGGUUAGGGAUGACCUUUGUCACUGAUGGUUCUGGAAAUGAAGCCUCUCUACUGAAUGAGAACAGCAUUUCACAAGAACAGCACAGAACAAUUCAGAAGCUGGAGAGGGGUUCUGUUUUCAUGCCUGCUGAAGCUGUCCAUCACAAGGUAGAAACUUAUCAUUUCCACCCUCUGCCAUUGAGAUAAGAUAGAAGGUAAUUGGAUUUUGCAUUAUCUGUUUAGUAGGAAAGGCUGGAAAUUAGGUCUGUGGUGUUAUCUGAAGGGUAACAAAAGUCUUUGUUCCCUUAGGAGAACUUCCUCAUUGGCCUGGUAUAGAAUAAGAGAUUCUCAUGGUUCUGUUUUCUCAUCUGUUCAUUUU